UCAGCAUAACAAUCGCGCAAUUCUGCUUCCCUCUCCUUUAUAAGUGUAAGGAAACGUGCCAUGGAUACCUUUGUUCUUUGAAGAAAGCAUUUUAGGUAUCUUCGUUUAUGCUCUUCCAUGGGUUGUAGCUCUUCCUUACCAUGAUGAAAAGGGCCAAUUGAAACCAUUUGUGGAGUGUAAUGACUCGGAUUUGAACACCGCCUGGGCUCAGCAACUCUGUAGAUGGAACACUUUGUAGACAAUGGAGGCAGGGUCUCCAACUUCCCACUCAAAGAAUCGGCUAACUUCUUCAUAUCAAUCGGCACAUGCUCGUUCUCGUCCUCAUGCGCCCUGUCAUCCAUAUAUAUUCAAUCAGUUGCUAAUGGAAGAAUAAUGAAAUAAAUGACAUUAGUAUGGAAAAUUCUUGGUGUGUUUCAGAAGCAUUGCUCCUUUUGCAAUCACUCUUUGUCUAGUAUAUUUUUCAAUUAAUCGUGAUAAUAUUUAUACACACCUGACAACUAGAGAACAAUAAGAAACAAUGCUCCUUGAGUACCAGAGAUAUAUCCAUCCAGAUUUAUAAAAAGAUAUGACGAUCGAGUGUGCAUAGAUUAAUCAGCUACUUAACACGUCAAAAACUGAGACAAAAGUGAAUACUCACAUUGCUUUUUCGGUAGCCCCUGUAUUAACUGUGGAUGAAGAAUCGGCUAGCUUCUCUAUUUCGACGGGUACAUGCUCGUCCACCCUCUCAUCCAUGGCCAGCAUUUUAAUAAAAGUCCCCGGUUGAGCGAGAUUUAUUAAUUAAAAAAGAAAAGAGCACAAUAAAAAGAAGGGCUGGAACAUCCUUGGCCAGCUAGCUAACAGAAGAAUGAUGUGUGUAUCCUGAUUAAUAAAAAGGUAUGACAAUCAAGUGCAUAUAAAUCAGAAACUUAACGCAUCAAAAAUUAAGACUAAAAUGAAUACUCACAUUGCUUUUCUUUGUAGCCAGUAUUAAUUGUGGAUAUGAAACACAAUAACAUAUAAGAUCAACCAGGUCCUCGUAAUAAAUUGGUCCAUAUAAUCCAUAUAUAUAUAUAGGAGUAGUUCAAAUAAAUUGAUAUUGUACAUUAAUUCCUUCCUUCAGAGCACAACAAUUCUCUUGUCAUUUAUGGAAUCUCUUUCAAUAAAGUCAGUAAGUGUUAUCUUUCUUUAUUGGCUCUCAUGUAAUAAGAACAAAGAUUAUAUUGGUUGUUAAGAGUAUUAGAGAAAUCGGUUGACACAAAAAUUUAACUUGAGAGUCAAUAAGUAUUAAUUAAAUAAUUCAAAAGUACAGAAUCAUGUAGAUGAGCCGUGAGACGAGAAUUCAAAAUUAAGCCAACAAAUUCAACUUUGAAUUCUUAUUACAGAAACAACAUAGUUUCAAAAGCUUAAGUAUAAUAAUAAGGUCCAAAAAUAAUGUUAAAGUAAAGUCUUUCAACGAAUUUACUACGAUGAACAAUUUAGCAUAGCCUAAAAUGAAUUACUACCAUAAAUUCCAGAGGAAAAAACCGUAUAAUAUUCUUGAACCUCAUCUCAAGUUAAUUAAUUUAAAACAUAAAGCAGGUUCGUUUCGGCUUCUCAAUGAAAAAAGGUGAAAGCAUAAACAUGUGUUAAGUAUUAUCGUCGAUACUUUCAUCCAUGGGGAAGCUGUCCCAUGGAAAACAGAGGCCCUGCCCUGCUGUUGUAUGUCCAAAAACAAUGAUUAAAUAUAAUUAUGUAAAUUUACAAUUUCAGAUUUUAAAAUAUUUAUUUUUCUGUUUAGCUCUUACAACUUUAAAAGUUUAACAUUUUACCCCAAUAAUUAAAUACUCGUUUUCAACUUUAACCCAAAGAGAUUUACCUCUACACCAUUUGACACCCCCUAAAUAUUUUAUGAAGCAUAGCGCUUCCCUGCAAUCGUGUCUUUUCCUUGGCAGAGAUCAUGUAUUGAAUUUUAUUGCCCCGCACAACUGCUUUGAAUCGAAGUCACUUCAAAUCCCUUAAUGUAGGGUCCUUUUCAACAGAAAGGAAUAGCCAAACCAACCCAGCUGGCUGGUCUUUAUCCGUCCGAUCGGAGAGUGAAUAAUCAAAUUUUCAUCACUCUGUGCUGGGCCACAAAACGCUCUUGCUUUUUCUUUCAACUUUCCAGGACCCAUGCUUUACGAUUGCUCGACUUAUCUUGCUUUUAUGUUAUAUCAUUAUGUGCUUGACUUGACUUGACUUGGGGCUUACUGUGGACAAAUUACUCUCUCAUUUCACAGUAAAAGUUCUAACGUGAUUAUAAAAUUUCUCCAUAAAGCAACUAAUUAAUUAUUACGAAUUGUAGAAUCAAUACUAAUACUGGUUAUUCAAAUAUUAAAAUCUUUCCUAGAAUCGCAUUGCUACAUUAUCACAUUAUAUCCUUUCUUUUUUUCUCUGCCAUGCCAUCCUCUAUUACUGAUGUUAGCUAGGUGACACAAUUUAAAAAUUGAGGUGACAAGUAGACAAUAUAUAGGUGCUUGACUUGUUGGGAGGUCGAGUGAAAACAGCAACAGUAACUAGAGAAAUCAACUGCUCUUAUUUUUUGUACAUUCUGUGGGAGAGCUAAACAAAACAGAGGCACUAGCAAGCAAUACAAAUGAAAUGCUUUUAAGAAACACAAAAUUUGAUCACAAACAGUAGAAAUUAAUAAAUCUACAAUGCAAUUAGAGAAGAAACUGUUUGCGUGGCUGUGAGUAGAAGGAGAAUAACGGCUGCAAUUACAGAGAUAGACGCCCAUGGAGUGUUGAAAUAAUUUUGCUUCAAGGCUGCCUUCCAUUUGUGCCAUGGUAAUUUGCGAUAGGCCUGUAAAUCAGUGACAACGCCAGAAUAUUGAAAAUCAUCACUAUCUAACGCACUGCCGCGAACAAGGUUUCCAAAAACAGUUGCAAUAUUUCCAUCAUUCCCUAGCCUAAUAACAUCAUUUUGAACGAGUAGUUCUUCAUCUUUCGGACAGCUGAUGAGACAAGCCAUCAUUAUAAUGUAAUCAUUAAAAUAUCCGUUGUAGUCAUGCAUUCUCUCAAAGGCUAGAAGAUUUCUGUACGCACGCUCCGUGUCAUCAUACACCUUGAAAAAUGGAAUUUCCAGAAUUCCUUGAUUAAAAUUGAUGUCAAGUAGGUUUUUGGUUGACUCGGCAGCUGGUUUAAACUUGACUCCGGCUUGGUGAAGUUCCUUCACACUGGGUAUGUUUUGAUCUUUCAACAUAAUUUGAGCACGUGACUGGGAUGGCUGAAGACAGAGUAAAAUCAGGUGAAGAAAAUGCUCAGCGUUGGGAAAGUGGAUUUUUACCGGAUUCUUGUCCAGUGGCUCAAUUACAUAGUUCUCGAACCAAAAACAAGCAAUUUCGGCAAGGGAAAUAUUCUCGUAAAAGGCAUCUUCAUAGGUUGCUGUUUUGGCUAGAUCAAACAAGUCAUUGAGAAUGAAUAAUGGAAGCUGAUUUUCUACCAGCAAAAAGUCAUCCUGUAUUUCCAAAUACAAUUUGGGUUUUUUGAAAAUGCGAUCAUCAUCAGUUCUUAAAUUACGUUUAUAAUAUCUCAGAAAGAACUCAAUAAGAAAGACAGCAUCCACUAAAACCAUCGCUACGAACUCAUCACUUCCAAGAUUACGAAUGGUUUCUGCAUAGCAAUUGCGCAGUUUUGUUUCCCUUUCCUUUAUAAAAGAGAGGAAACGAGCCAUACGUACCUUAGUCCGUUGAAGAAAGUAUUUUAGGUACCUCUGUUUAUGCUCUUCCAUGGGUUUUAGCUCUUCCUUACCAUGAUGAAAAGGGCCAAUUGAAACCAUUUGCGGAGUAAAAUGACUUGGAUUUAAACACCGCGUGGGCUCAGCAACUCUAUAGAUGGAACAAUCUUUAGACAAGUGAUGCAGGGUCUCCAAAUUCCCACUCAAAGUAUCUGCUAGCUUCUCCAUAUCAAUCGAUACAGCCUCACUGUCAUCCAUCUUCUAUUAAUUGUUCACUGCAGAAGCAACAAAUUAAAAUAAAUGAAAUUAUCAGUAUAUUUAGAUGACAGCAUUAGAAACAAUUAAUAACCGAAAACAAUCUGCACAGCUAACUCAUUUCCAGAAUUAAUGAUUAAAGGUACAUAUAAGAAUAUGUAUCCUUUUUCUUUUUUUUUUAAGGAAUAAGAAUAUGUAUCUUGAAAGUUGAAACAUCAAUAUUUAAAAAAAAAAAAAAAGAACGAGAAAAACUCACAUUCCUGCUUCUGCCUGUGGCCUUUUUGCUCCACAUGCCCAAACAACCCACUUUUAUAAUUGUUGAAUUCACUAGUGAAGCUGAACCAAAUUCAUCACACGUUGGAGUGCCAGCUGGAGUCAAGUCAACUAUAUUUAUGAGUUCUGCUAUUUGAACUGAGAGAGGACAGAAGCAAGACAAAAAUGAUUUAAUUAAUCAAUAAAAAUGUGGGCCUACAAUAAGUUUUAAAAAAGCGCUUGUGUUUUUUUUUUUUUCCCCUUGGAUCUAAAGCGGAUCUAAAGCGCUUUUCAAAAAAAAAAAAAAAAAGUGAGGAUCUAAAGUGGAAGGCCGAUCCCGAUCUGCAUCUGCAUCUCUCGCACUAGCUGCAUUUCCAGCCCUGCAUUUGGAAGAAGGGAGAAGUUAGAUCUGUUCGAUAGCUGAAAAAAAAAAAAGUGAAACAAAAUCAGUGGUAAUAGAUCUACAAACAGAGGCAGUUUGAUAAAAUUAUUACUGAUUAAUUGGUAAGUUGGUCUCUCUUUUGAAAAUAUAAAUCCAGCAGCCAGUGCGGGAAUGAGCAGAAAUAAUCCAUCUGCACCUAUAAUGUUACCUUCUAUACCUGACACAACAUUAGAACAGCCCUCAGAUGAAAAUUCACAAAACCAACACAAUAGCAAUAUCCCUCAUCUCAAUCAAACAGUGACAACUCCAGAUGGCAAAACUGUUAUGAAGAGAUUCCCAUGCAGCUGAAUUAGUUACUAAUUCAGCACUUAUUCAUUGUAUUAAAGUUUGUUAUUUUUCUGUUAUACUGUUUAGAUGCAACAAGUGUGCUUAUUUAUCUCUCUUUUGCCAUUUCCUUUAAUUGACUGCAUCAAACUUUUACAAUAUUGCUUUUCUUUUUCUUCUAUCUUUCUCCAUUAUUGACGUUAGCUCGGUGAUACAUUCAAAAAUUGAGAUUACACGUAGACAAUUAAUAAAUUGGUCUAUCUCUUUAUUUCGAUAAAUUAGUAAAAGGCCGUGGCUAUUUUAGAGGAGUUUCGAAGCCAUACAAUCGAAAUGAAAAAUAAUAAAAAAAUAUGUUAUUAUUUUGAUCAUAUAGUUUUAAAAAUAUGCUCUAAAGCGGAGUAACUCCAACAUAAUCAAACCCGACUAGUAAAAUUAUCAAAUUUUUAUUAUAAUGGAAUUGGAAAGGUGAGUGAAAACAACGGUAAGGUCUUGUUUGGGAUUGAGAUGUUGUAACUUUUAAGCUACAGCUUUUGUGAAAAAAAAAAGUAAGUAUGAAACAAAAGUUAAUAAUUUGUAGUAAAUAUAAAUUUUAAAAAAUAAUUUUAACAAAAUUAUUAAAGAUAUAAUAUAUUUUUUAUGAUACAAUUGAGAAAUCAUUUCAACAUAUCUUCCAAGCUAUGGCAAUUAGUGUUUAACAAAUACUUUAAUAUUGUAACUUUUAAGAUAUAGUUGUCUAACCUCGAUUCCAAACGCACCCUAAGUAUAGAAAUCACCCUAAGUAUAUUUUUAACAAUGUUAUAGUUAGGUGACAAAUUAAAAAGUAAGGUGACAAGUAGACAAUAUAUGUGUACAAUGUUUGUUUCUUGAUACCGACGCGCGAGCUUAGUAAAUUAACAAAUUUUUAUCAUCAAUUAUGUGCUUGUCCAUUCCGUGGUUGAGCUGAGCAAAACAAAAGUACUGACAAUAUACACAAGCCGUGAAAUUUUUCUUUAAAAAAGAUUGAAAAUAGCAUAAAAAAAUUGGUUUACAAUGCAAUGAGAGAACAAACUGUUUGUGUGAACGUGGGUCAAAGGACAACAACCACUGCAACGACGGAGAUAGAUGCCCACGAAAUGUUGAAAUAAUUUUGCCUCAAUGUUGCCUUCCACCUGUGCCAUGGUGAUUUGGAAUAGGCAUGUAGAUUAGCAACAAUACCAGAGUAUGGUAUUGAUGAGCAGUGGUGACCGUUGAUAAUAAUCGGAAAUCAUCAUUGCGUGUUGUGAAGUAUGAGAUUGGUAGGCAAAGAGCUCUAUGACUCUUGGUAGGCAAGCAUAAUAAUUACAAAGUACAUGUAAAAAUGUAAUGAUAACUUUUGACACGCAAUGGUGAUUUUUGAAAUAAAUAUAAUAAUUGUCAUCAACCCCACUAGACAACUAUUACCCUCUUUCAUUUAUUUUACUCUAGACAAUUACCACCCUCCUUUAUUUAUUUUUUUUCUCUUGUAAUUAUUACAAUAGCUUGUGUAUUUAUAUCAUUGUAAAAUAGACAAUACAUGAUGAAUAAAAAUUAUUUCAUUUCCUUUAGCAUUUUAAUAAUGACAAACCACAUUUUGGUUGAAAAUUUGAAUUUGAAAAAAAAUGUGAUAUUACUUCAAUUGCCAAGAAAAUGGUUUUGUUGCAAGUGUCGUAUUGUUAUAACUGACAUAAAAAGAAGUAGAUUCCUUUUCAAUGUAGGAGCAGUACUGCAUUUGGCCGCGUCAUAAUAAAACCGACGUACAUAUAUAAUAUAAUUAUAGGGCAUUUUACUUUUCACCAAAAAAUCUAGCUGCUUAUAUGUAUAUAUCAUAUCAUAUUUCUUAGCCACAUUUUCCAUAUAUCACCGUAUAACUAUUUGUUAACCACAUAUCCUAACUGUGAAGAAAGCUCAUUGUGCUGAGCUGAGAAGAGAGAAGAAGUCAGAAGCUAAGGUGCGUCAGCAAUGCCACGUCAACAAUGCUGAGUCAGCUGAUUCUGUUAUGCAGCAAUGAGAGUUCGCGUGAUUAGUUAGUUAAUACAGAUCAGUUUCGUUAAUAGCUUUUACUAAUAAAAUGCAAGUAUAAAAGACUUGUGAUUUACUCAUUUGUAAUGAAUGAAAUAAUAAGAUCUGGAAUAUUCAUCAAUUUUCUCUCUGUUUCUCAGUAACCAAACAGCAUUUGCAACUCAUUUUUACACUAACUACCCUCCCUUCUUGGAUAUAUACAAUUCUAGAUAUUUUUUGUUAACAAGUGGACGAUUGGACGAGUGGAUCGAGGGCUUGAGUCUUUCUUCAAUAUUAUUUGAAUUGUCAAAUUUUUAUCGUUAUGUGCUAGACUUAUUGCGAAAACAGCAAAAGUAAGUGCAGAAAUCAGCUGCUCUUAUUUCUUUUAUAUACAUACUGUGGUUGAGCUAAACAGAAACACUCACCGGCAAUACAAGUGAAAUCCUUGUAAGAAAAUAAUACAUAAUAAACUGUAAAAGUGAAUCUACAAUGCGAUGAGGGAACAAACUGUUUGUAUGGAUGUGAGUAGAAGAAGAAUAACAGCUGCAAUUACAGAGAUAGACGCCCAUGGAGUGUUGAAAUAAUUUUGCUUCAACGUUGCCUUCCACUUGUGCCAUGGUAAUUUGCAAUAGGCCUGUAGAUCAGCAACAACACCAGAAUAUUGGAAAUAAGAAUAACUUAUCGCACAUCCUUUAUCAAGAUUGCGAAAUACAGUUGGAACUGCUUCAGUAUUCCCUAGCCCAAUAAUUUCGUUCUGAAGGAGUAAUUCCGCGUCCUUUGAAGUGCUGACAAGAUAAUUCAUCAUUAUAAUAUAGUCAUUCAAAUAUUUAGUGUAGGAAUGCAUCAUCUCGAAAGCCAGAACAUUUCUGUACAAACGCUCUGUGGCACCAUACACCGUUAAAAAUGGAAUUUCUAGAAUUCCCUCAUUAAAUUUGAUGUCGAGUAGAUCCUUGCUCGACCCUCGUUUAAACUUGACUCCAGCUUGGUGAAGUUCCAUUACACUGGGAAUGUUUAGAUCUUUCAACGCAAAUCCAGCAAUAUUACCCCUGAACCAAAAACAGGAAAUUGUCAUGAAGGAAAAUUCCUCAUACAAGUUCGUUUCAAACAUUGUUGUUUUGGCUAGAUUAAACAAGUCGUUGAGAAUGAACAAUGGAAGCUGAUUUUCUAGCAGCAAAAUCUCAUGCGUCACAUCAUUAUACAAAAAUAAUUUUCCUAAUAUGGGAUCCUCAUUCGUUCUGAGAUUAGGUUGAUAAUACUUCAGAAAGAGCUCAAUGAGAAACACAGCAUCCACUAAAACCAUUUUUAUGAACUCAUCACUCCCAAGAUUACAUUGAUUGUAAUUAAGGUUGUUGGAAGUACUGCUGUACGGCCAAGGCGGACGUGCGGUACAGCCGGAAAGCACUUAAGGUAUCUUUUCUUAUGCUCUUCCAUGGCUUUUAGCUCUUCCUUACCAUGAUGAAAAGGGCCAAUUGAAACCAUUCGCGGAGUAAAAUGACUUGGAUGGGAACACCGCGUGGCCUCAGGAACUCUGUAGAUGGAACACUCUCUGGCUAAGGGAUGCAAUGACUCCAGUUCCCCACUCAAAGAAUCUGCCAACUUCUCCAUAUCAAUCGAUACACCAUAACCCUCAUGCUCAUGCUUUCUGGUGUCCAUCUUCUCAUUAAUUGCUCGCUGCAGUAGCAACAAAAUGAAUGAAAUCAGUAAAACAGAAAGAAAACAGGUAGCAUUAAGAACAAUAACCGAAACAGGAGGUGAAGACGUGCAACUAGGAGUUUGGGAAGAGCAAGAGCAAUGAUGAGUCGAAGGAGAUGAUAUUGGUGGCGAAUUAUUUGAAUAUCAAAAAGAUGUUGGAUUAUUUGACCGAGGCUCUGGUCAACAAGAUUAAGAACAAGAGUGUCGAGUAUGUCAGGAAGUAAAGUUAUUUGGAAUUGAAAAUGAUUUUACGCUCGAGGAGGAGGAAGCAGCCAGGAAGGGUGAUGAUAAAGCAUAAGCUUUUUAAAUUUUAAUCCCCAUCAUUAUUUAAUUGAAGUAAUUUUAUGUUUUAUGUUUUACAAUAAUUGCUGGCUGGAUAUUGAUUGAUGUUGAAUUUGAUUAUAUCUGAUCACACUUCAUUACAUUCAAUUUAUAUUUACUAGUGUCUUUUAUAGUUUUUUUUCUUUCUUAUUUAUUUUUUGGCAUUGAUUUAGGGUAAAAUAAUAAUUUUAUGUUUGUGGGUAAAAAAAAUCAUUUGAUCAAUACUCUAUUAAUUCUAUUAACACCGUUAAAACGGCGAUGGACGAGUGCAUGAAAAUGUAUUUUCAAGUAGAAUUCAGCUUUAAAAAAAAUGUGUAUAAAAAAAACACAAGAAAAGAGGUGAUGCAUGGAUGAUUGCUCUUCAUUAAAAGACCAAGCUCUCGUAAUAAGAAAUGAUUUGUGGGCUGAUUUUUUAUUUUUUAUUUUUAGUUUUUUGAGAAUGCCCAUUGGAUUGUUUAAACGUGCGCUUUGCUCCCAUGAUCCUCGAUCAAGGAAUAUAAUAAAACAAUUCCAACCAAUCGUGCACUCUUCGGACAAAUUGAUAAGAGGUCAAGAGUCUUUUUUUUUUUUUUUUUUUAAUAUAGUGGAGCCUAGUAAAGACUAGGACAAACAGAGCAGGAAUGAAAGUCUCAUACAUAUUAUUACAUAACUAAUAUCCAAUCCCCUCCGGAUAAUUAGUCAAGAUUCUUUUUUUAAUACAACAAAACCGAGUUGCUUUCUCUAUAAAAUUGAAUAAAUUGUUUUCAUUUUAAUUUUUCAAUAAAGCAAAAAAUUAGCAACUAGGUGAUCGUGCUCAAACAAUUCAAUAGGCCACAAGUCAGUCCAAAAUUUAUGUCGAGGUUAGGUGACCCAAUUUAAUUAAAAUAAUAAAGCGACAAGUAGACAAUUCUUUUAUUAAACCCGGGCCCCGACUCAUGUGCUAGAUUCCUAUUUUAAAUUUGUCUAUUUUCACUUGUUAAACUGUCUUGCUAUACCAAGAAAGCCCUUCGUAUCUUCCACCUCCUCAAUGAUUUGGGUUCUCUCCAUUGAUGUUCUGAAUACUCAUUGAAAUUGAGUGAGAAAAUUUGUCAGUUCAGCUCAAAAGAUAAGCGUGAGAGAUUAAACAACUACUUGAAAAUACUUUGAUCCUUUAGAUGACAAAUUGACAAUUUAGGUUUUGUUGCACUUUAGAGUACCUCACGUUUUAUAUGUCUCAAAUUCAGGGUUGGACCGACUAUGAGUCAAUUUGACAAUGCUAGAAUUUUUAAAAUAAUUGUUAAUAAUUGUGCUGUAAAAUUAAUUAGUUGCGAAAGUUAAACAUUUAAUAAUUUUAGGUGUCUCUCUCCUGCUUUGCCGAUGUGGGAUUCACCUAGAGUGUUACAAUUUCUUAAUUGAAUAUGGAUAAUUUUAGAUAUUUAUAAUAUAUGUGAAGAUAUAUAUGAAAUUAGUUGUGUAAAGUUAUUCCUUUUCUACUUUUCUAAUUUACCAUAUAAUGGGGUGAUUUUACCAAAAGUAAUUUUUAAAAAAAAAUAUCAAAAUUAAUUUUUAUCUUUUCGAAAUCAAAAUUUUGAGCCUAAAAAACAAUCCCAAAAGGGCUCUAUGACAAACCACAUUUUAGUUGAAAUUUUUAAUUUCAAAAAAAAUGGUUUUGUUGCAAGUGUCAUGUUGUUACAACUGACAUAAAAAGUUUCUAAUAUUUAAAAAAUAAUAGUUUUUUUUUUCUUUUAUUUCUCAACUUUUAUGCUUAUUCAUGCAUCUCCACACGUCAGUGUCGCCUACAACUUUUAGCGUGGAAGACAUCAUCCGUACUCACGCCCUCCUUAUCGAGGGAGCGAGUUCGAAUCCCAGUGGGAGUAGUUCAUUAAGCCGCACCAUAAUGGAAAAGAAGUAGAUUCCUUUUCAAUGAAGGUGUAGUACGUUUCGCCGCGUCAAAAUAAAACCGAUGCCGCGUCAAAAUUAUUUGAUGUCGAGUAGAUUUUUGCUUGACCCUGGUUUAAACUUGACUCCAGCUUGGUGAAGUUCCUUUAGACUGGGAAUGUUCACAUCUUUCAACGCAAUAUCUGAAUGCGACUGGGAUGGCUGAAGACAGAGUAUAAGCAGAUCAACAAAAUGUUUAGCUCUCGAAAAGUUGAUUUCUAGCAAAUUCUCCUGUAUUGGAAGAUAUCCAGCAAUAUUACCCCUGAACCAAAAACAGGAAAUUGUCAUGAAGGAAAAUUCCUCAUACAAGUUCGUUUCAAACAUUGUUGUUUUGGCUAGAUUAAACAAGUCGUUGAGAAUGAACAAUGGAAGCUGAUUUUCUAGCAGCAAAAUCUCAUGCUUCAUAUCAACAUACAAAAAUGAUUUUCCGAAUAUGGGAUCCUCAUCAGUUCUGAAAUUAGGUUGAUAAAACUUCAGAAAGAGCUCAAUGAGAAACACAGCAUCCACUAGAACCAUUUUUAUGAACUCAUCACUCCCAAGAUGAAUUGUUUCAGCAUAACAGUUGCGCAAUUCUGCUUCCCUUGCCUUUAUAAAUCCAAGGAAACUUGCUAUGCGUACCUUAGUUCGUUGAAGAAAGCACUUAAGGUAUCUUUUCUUAUGCUCUUCCAUGGCUUUUAGCUCUUCCUUACCAUGAUGAAAAGGGCCAAUUGAAACCAUUCGCGGAGUAAAAUGACUUGGAUGGGAACACCGCGUGGCCUCAGGAACUCUGUAGAUGGAACACUCUCUGGCUAAGGGAUGCAAUGACUCCAGUUCCCCACUCAAAGAAUCUGCCAACUUCUCCAUAUUAAUCGCGUCAUAACCCUCAUGCUCAUGCUUUCUGGCGUCCAUCUUCUCAUUAAUUGCUGGCUGCAGUAGCAACGAAAUAAAUGAAUGAGAGUGAUGAUAGAGCUACAAACUCUUGAACAAACUUAUUUUGUACAAACUGAUUUGGCAUCAAGUCAUUGGUUGAAUAAAAAUAUAGUAUAAUAAAAACAAAUCAUGUGGACCAAGAGAUAUUUAAUCCAACUAAUUAAAUCAUGCUACAUCAAUUUAUACAAGAGCUUAUAACUAUAUUAUUACUCAAUGAAAUCAGUAAAACAGAACAAAACCGAAACCAGCUAUCUCGAGGACAGUUGCUAACUUAGUUCCCGAAUGAUUAAAGAGAACGAGAAAAGAAAACUCAUUUUGUUUUGCCGAUAGCCUCUGCUACACGUACAUACCCAAACAGCCCACUAAUAUAAUCAACAAAGUCUCCUCGCCCAAAAUAAAAAUAAAUUAUUCCUUAAUAUAAAGGUAUAUACGAGGACAGUCUCUUUUAGUUUAUAUUAUUAAAAGACCAAGUUCUCGUAAUAAGAAAUAAUUUGUGAGCUGAUACAUACAUGUGUGUGUACACAUUGAUUAAAAGAUAUAACAAUUGAUUACAUAUCUAUCAUAAACUUAUUAACACAUCAAAUCAAGUUCUCGUAAAAAUUAAGACAAGCGAAUACUCACAUUUUUAUCUUUGCUUCUUGAAUCAAUUAUGGAUGAUGAAACCAGUAUUAUAUAUGAUCGACCUUGUCGUCCGAACAAAUUGGUCCAUAUAUUUCAUAUAUAUAUAUAUAUAUAUAUAGAAUAAAUUGAUGUUGUACAUUUAUUCCUUUCUUCAGAACAUCACAAUUCUCUUGUCUUUUAUGGAACCUCUCUUUCAAUAAAGUCAGUAACUGUUUUCUUUCUUUACAGGUUCCCAUCUAAUAAGAUGCAUGCUUUAAGCUUCAUAAUUGAAAUCAUCAAAAAUUACAAAACGAAAAAUCAAGGACAAAGAUUGUAUUGGUUGUUAGAGUCUUAGAGAAAUCUCUUUACAUAAAAGUUUUAAGUUGAUUGGUAAGAAUCAAUAAGUAUUAUAGUUUUCCUCAAGUAUUAAAACCAGAACUCGUAGGUAAGCUUAGAGAUAAGAGAAUUUUAAAGUAAGUCAAUAAAUUCAAAUUAAAAUAAAGUUUGUAUGUGGGAGAAUAAACUUGAGAAAUCUCGUUAGUGAAAUAAUUUGGUUCAAGAGUUUAAGCAGAAUCAUAAGGAUCCAAUAAUAGCGUUAAAAUCAAGUCUCAUUAUGAUAAACAAUUUAGUGUAGCCUAAAAUGAAUUACUAAAGUAAAUUCUUGAAGAAAAAAAGCGUCUAAUAUUCUUGAACAUCAUCUUAAGUUAACUAAAACUUAAAGCAGGUUGGUUUGGGUUUCUCUAUGAAAAAAGGUAAAAGUAUUAACAUGUAUCAAGUAUAGUUAUGAAAAUUUACAAUUUCAGAUUUUAAUAUUUAUUUUGCUGAUUUGGCCCCCGGUAACUUUAAAAGUUUAACAUUUUACCCAUUAAUUAGAUAAUCUUUUUAACUUUAACCUUAAAACAUUUUUAUUCUAGCUCCGCCCCUUUUCAUCACUCCACGCAUGCAAAAGUUAUUUAAUACUUCAAAUUUCUCAAAAUUUAUGUUUAUUUAUUCAUGACACAGCCGUUGCUUGUAAGAGUAAUGCUAUACCUUAGAAGCAACAUCAUGGAAACAUUACCAUGUUUUAAUUGGCAUGUACAUUGAUCAUUUGGAACGAUGAACUAUUUAUUCGAUGUGUUUGGAAUUAUUCAUCUAUGAUCAUAUUCAUAUGCCAAGACUUCUGAAAUGUUAAGGCUAAAACAAGAGUGUUACAUGUCCAAAUUUAAGGAAUUAAUUAUGUGGUGUUUGGUUGGGAGAAGAGAAUGUAGGAGAGGAAAGUAAUUUAAAUUCCCUUUUUAUUUCUAUUGUUUGGUUUGACAAAAUAUAUAAGAAUUUAAUUUCCAUUAGAAUUUAAUAUCCAUUAUAAUAUAGAAUUUGAAUUCCAUACUAAGUAGUGAAGAAUUAAAUUCCUCUUAUAUUAGAAACUAAAGUUUCUAAAAUUACCCUUCAACUUUUUAACUUAUUUAAUGUCAUUAAUAAUUAUUAUUUUAUUGAUUUAAUAUUAUAAAUGGACCUCCACCGGAAAGUCACUGGACCACCGUCGGACCUCGCCGGACCACCGAAUCGCCAUUUUAUUAUAUAUAUUAUUACUAAUAUAAAUAGUUUAAUAUUUAAGGUAAAUGAUAAAUUUGUCUAAAAAAAUUAUAAUUAAUUUCCUUAUUAAAUUUUAUAUCAAACCAAACAACAAAAUCUAAUUUCACUACUCUUCUCCAUUCCUUUCUUCUCCCUUCCUUUCCAUUCCACUCUUUUCUUCUCUUCCCUUUUCUUCAAUCAAAACAUGACCUAGUAUUGUUAAAUAUGUAGGUACGAAUGUGAAAUGUGUAACUUAUUGUUAAAACUUAUGUGAUAUCCAACAUACCAUGUUACGAAUUAGCCAUUCUUGCAUGCGCGCUGCCUAACCAAAUUUAAUAGUUAAACAUUUUACCGUUCUACAAUUAGACUCACUGCUGUACCAAAUGAAAUAUCAUGUUCUUUCACAAGUUAGUUGUCAAGAAGCAGCAUUUUUUUUCCUUUAAAAUUAAAGGCUGGGGUCAUGAUUUCCCGCCAAAUUCAAAACCGAAUCCAGCUGUCAAAAAAUGGCCAUCACCUUCAUCAACUCCAAUCUCUUCUCUGUUCCUCAAAACGCCACUUGAUCACAAUAAAGACAUCAUAUACACUUCAUACUUACUUCACUUUCAAUUACACUUAACUUUACAAGAUCAUUUUCCAAUAACUUGCCUUAUAAGAGCUGUUUUUGUCCAAUAUUGGUUCAGCCCGAAACCUAAUGAGAGCUUUUUUAUGCAGAAAGUGGUUUCCUGGUGAAGAUCAAUGUUGGGCUGUCUGCAGAUAGUUUUGGCUAGAUUAAACAAGUCAUUGAGAAUGAACAAUGGAAGCUGAUUUUCUAGCAGCAAAAUCUCAAGCUUGACAUCAUCAUGCAAAAAUGAUUUUCCUAAUAUGGGAUCCUCAUUAGUUCUGAAAUUAGGUUGGUAGAAUUUCAUAAAGAACUCGAUGAUAAACACAACAUCUACUAAAACCAUGGGGGGACCCAAUUAAGGUCCAUAAGGGGUUGCCCAAUUAAGGCCCAACUCCUUCUGAGCCAUUAAUUUUUUUUUUUUAAAUGUACCCAAAGUCCCUUCUCAAAGAGUUAAAUAAAAAAAUUUAGACACAUUUUGUAUAUAACAAAAGACUUGUAGUUUAAUGGUAAGAGUGUUAUUUGAUGGUUUUAAAGUCUUGAUUUAAAUCCCAAUAACCAUAUUGUUUUGUUUUUUUUUAUAAAUAUUUUGUGAAAAAUACUUAGAAAAAUUAUACUUUCACGCAUUUAAAAUAAAUAAUUUAUUACAAUUAUUAUUUAGAAUUUAAAAGAAAGUAAUGAAAUUUGAGUUUAUGAGACUUAAAAUAUUAUUCAAGUGAGCGUUAAAAAAAAUCUCAAAUAAAAUAAAAUAAUUUUAACUAAACCCCUAAUUUAAGUGUCUGGAUCUCCCACUGACUAAAACCAUUUUUAUGAACUCAUCAGUCUCAAGAUGAAUUGUUUCAGCAUAACAGUUUCGCAAUUCUGCUUCCCUCGCCUUUAUGAUUCCCCACUCAAAGAAUCUGCCAACCUCUCCAUAUCAAUCGAUACAUCACAACGCUCACGCUCACGCUUCCUGGCAUCCAUCUUCUUAUUAAUUGCUCGCUGCGGUGGCAACAAAAUGUAUGAAAUCAGUAAAAUAGAAAGAAAACAAGUAGCAUUAAGAACUGUUUGAUAAUGAGAAAAACUCUGUUUGGUUGUAGAGAAAGUGAGAAAGAAAGUGAUGUAAAAUGAAGAAGAAAGUAAACUUUUUGUAUUAUUGAGUUUUUGGAAGCUAACAAAAUAACAACUAACUAAUGAUAUUUAUGCAUGCUAAUAAUACAUGAGUUUGUUAUGGAAUCUAUCUAGAAGAUUCAUACAGCUAACAGCUACUGAAUCUGUUUGUAACUAACUAUCCACAUCAGCAUAACUAACAUUUGUUUUUUGAGAACUUGAGAAGGUCUAUUGGACUGUUUAAACUUGUUCAGUUUAGUAAUAGAACAAUUCCAACCAAUCGUGCACUCGUCGGAUAACAAAACCGAGUUGCUUUCUUUUAAAAUUGAAUAAUUUGUUUUCAUCUUAUUUUUUUCAAUAAAGCAAAAAAUUAGCAAUCGCGUUCAAAUAAUCCAAUAGGCCACAAACACUCCAAAGUUUCUGUUGAGGCUGGGUGACAGUGACACGAUUUAUUAAAACCGGGCCCCGGCUCAUGAGCCUGUUUCUGUACUUGAUCAUAUUUUAAUGAAGAGUGUGUAAGAAAAUGAAUCCUGUUUCCUAUAUUAAAUUAGUCUAUUCCACUGGUGUAACUGUCUGGCUAUACCAAGAAAGCCUUUCGUAUCUUCCAUCUCUUCAAUGAUUUGGGGUCUCUCCAUUGGUGUUCUAAAUACUCAUUGAAAUUGAGUGGGAAAAUUUGUCAGUUCAGCUCAAAAAAUAUGUGCAUGUAUUGAUGGUGGUGACAUAUAUAGUAGAUAAGUGUGACAGUUUACACAACUACUUGAAAAUGCUUUGAUCCUUUAGAUGACAAUCUAGGUUUUGUUGCACUUUUUGACCGUGGUAGAAAUUGUCACUAAUAUUGUGAUAUAUCUUUUAUGCCAUAAGUACCUCACAUUUAUAUGUCUCAAAUUCAGGGUUAGGCCGACUAUGGGCCAAUUAGGUAAUGUUAUAACUUUUAAAAUAAUUAAUAUUAAUUGUGUUGUAAAAUUAAUCAGCUACAAAAGUUAAACAUUUGUUAAAAAUUUAUUUUUAAAAGUACUGUGAGUUAUAAAAUCAAUCAUAUGUAUUUAGUAAGAAUCUUAUUAUAAUACAAAUGACAAAAAUAAACAUAAUAUUAAAUAAAAUUUAUUUGCAUAUUUAUAAACAAGUAAUUUUUUUUAGUGUUAGUGUAUAUAUAAUAAUUGAUAACUGAAAUAAAUAUUUUUAUUUUAUUAAGUUUAAUUCUCAUUUUGUUAUCUUAAUAUAAUUGGUAAUGAUGAUAAUCUCUUUAAAUUUAAUGAUUUUGUUUCCCAAUUGAAUAUGAAUAAUUUUGGAUAUUUAUAAUAUAUGUAAAAAUGUAUAUGAAAUUGUAUUAGAUGUUUGUUAAAAAAAAAAAGAACUUUUGACGGUUAAAUAAGUUAUUUUGCUUGUAGCAAAUCUUAAAUUUUGGAUUUUUGGAAGUAAAUGUUAAAAAGUUUUUUUUAAAUAUUAAAAUAUCUAAAAUAUCAUUUAUUUAAUUGACAAUCUUUUUCAUUCAUUUUUUUGUCUGUUGAAGAAAUUUUAUAAUUUUUAAUAAAAACUCUCAUUGACAACCAAACAAAUAAACUAUCAUUUGUCAGUACGCCCACCUUCAUUAACGAGGAACGGAGAUCGAAACUUAGAAUCCCGGUAGGAGUAGUUCAUUUGACCGUACCGUAGUAGAAUUAGAAGUAGAUUCCUUUUCAAUGUAGGAGCAGUGCAUUUGGCCGCCCCAUAAUAAAAGCGAUACCAGUAGUUUUCUGAUUAAUAAAAUAUCAAUAUUUUUAUAAUUGUAAUUAAAAAUGAAAAGGACUGGUGAAUUUUCAGUAUAACUAAUCAUUUGAGGAGUAUAGAAUCAUUCAAUUAUGAUACAGACAGUGUUUAGGAGAUGAAAGAUUCAUUAUAAAUUUAUAAAUCCAAGACUAGUCUAAAAUCGCCCACCACAUUCCAUCAAUUUAUAUAACUACAUAUUUUAUUAUUUAUUGGAUAAAAAAUUUCAUAAUUAGUAAAAUUAUUAUAAUUAAAUACCAUCCAAUAGAUGAAUGCCAUAUGAAUUGGGAUCUAAAAAUUAAAAUCCCUAACCUUAUUGAUUUGUAAAUUAAAAUAUAGGGAUUUCUUUCAAUCGAAGGUCUGCCGAAACUAAAAAAAUGAUAACCACUGAAAUGAGACCCAGCUACAGUCAUAUAUUUUCGAAGCUACUGAAGCAGAUAAAAUAAUCAAAGCCAGCAUAGGACCACCUAAUAGAAGACAAGUUCGUUCACAUGGACCCGUUAAAAUUGAACCAAUAACAGCACCAUUAAUCUGGUUGCAGUUGUAACAUUAAUGUUAGCUGAGUGAUUUUUCCAACAAGUUAGUUGUCGAUAAAGAACAGCUUUAGUUUAGGAUGAUGAUUUCCCGCCAAAUUGAAACCCUAAUCCAACUGUCAAAAACCGCCCACCACAUUCACCAACUCCACACUCUAUUCCUCAAAACAUCACUCGAUCACAACACGUACAUAAUCUCACGCUUCAUUCUCACUUCACUUUCAAUCUCACUCCACUUUACGAGAUCCUUAUUCAAUAACUUGCCCGUCACGCCACCACUUUUUGCUUACAAUACCCUUAUAAGAGCGUACACGAAAACCUCUUGUUCGAUCGAAUCAAUCAAACUGUUUGAUGAAAUGCUAAAAACAGGGCUUACACCAGAUAAUUUUACGUGCCCUUCUGUUGUAAAAGCUUGUGGUCGGUGUCUAAUGAUUGGAGUUGGUGGGUCAGUGCAUUCGUUGAUUCCUAAAGUGGGUUUGGAUUCGGAUAAAUAUAUUGGGAAUACCCUUUUGAGGAUGUAUGCUGCCUGUAAGGAAAUUGAUUUUGGGAAAGCACUGUUCGAUGAAAUGCCUGAGAGAGAUGUGGUUUCUUGGAGUUCUAUGAUUGCGGCUUUUGUUACUUGGUAUGCUUCUUCAAUGAUUUGAUUUUAAUUGUUUAUGUGUCAUUGUUACUUGUCGUGGAUUUAAAAAAUAAAAUAAAAUAAAAAACCGUUAAUGUAAAUAAAAGCCAAAUAAUUGCUGCAUGAAGUUCAUUAGUUAAUGAGUUUGUCUAGUUUCGGUGCUUGUUUUCAUGUGAAUUUUGUUGUGCACGGAAUGCGGAAUCAAGUGCACCAAAUAAUUACUGAAAAAUAAAAGACACAAGAAUUACGUGGUUCGGUAAUUAAACCUACAUCCAUAGAGGCAAGAAGGAAUAAUUGUUCUUUGAAGAAAGCAUGGAUACCUUUGUUCUUUGAAGAAAGCAUUUUAGGUACCUUUGUUUAUGCUCUUCCAUGGCUUUUAGCUCUUCCUUACCAUGAUGGAAAGGGCCAAUUGAAACCAUUUGUGGAGUGUAUUGACUUGGAUUUAAACACCGCCUGGGCUCGGGCAUUCUGUAGAUGGAACACUUUGUAGACAAGGGAGGCAGGGUCUCCAACUUCCCACUCAAAGAAUCGGCUAACUUCUUCAUAUCAAUCGGCACAUGCUCGUUCUCGUCC
rnacentral:lncRNA from 1 species